GCGGAUGGCUGGAUAAUCGCCGCCUUGGGGUAAACCCUUGGGGGAGGAAAGUCCGGACUCCAUUGAGCAAAGGUGCCGGGUAACGCCCGGCGGGGGUAACCCUAGGGAAAGCGCCACAGAGAACAGACUGCCCUCUAUACGGGGGUGAUGGUGAAACGGUGGAGUAAGAGCCCACCGCGGGACUGGUAACAGGACCGGCACGGCAAGCCCCACCUGGAGCAAUGCCAAAUAGGGGUCCACUAGCAGGGACUGUGUGCGUUCGCGCAUACCGCCUGCGAGGUCGCUCAAGCCUUUGAGACCCGGGUUGGCAGCUUGAGCCUGUUGGUAACAGCAGGCCUAGAGGAAUGGUUAUCGACGGGGCGCAAGCCCCUGAACAAAAUCCGGCUUAUAGGCCAUCCGCGUAU
rnacentral:RNase_P_RNA from 1 species